UACGUAGGGCGCAAGCGUUGUCCGGAAUUAUUGGGCGUAAAGAGCUCGUAGGCGGUUUGUCGCGUCUGCUGUGAAAACCUAAGGCUCAACCUUGGGCUUGCAGUAGGUACGGGCAGACUAGAGUGCAGUAGGGGUGACUGGAAUUCCUGGUGUAGCGGUGGAAUGCGCAGAUAUCAGGAGGAACACCGAUGGCGAAGGCAGGUCACUGGGCCGCAACUGACGCUGAGGAGCGAAAGCAUGGGGAGCGAACAGG
rnacentral:rRNA from 1 species